UUUCUCUUCGAAACAUCCAGAACCUCAGACAGGCGACAUUGUGUACACAUUACAUUAUGAAUGUCUCAUUACCCAUUCGAAGUCGGCUUCAGGAACAAAUUAUUAUCGUUUAUUUAAAUUGUUUAUAAAUCGUACGCUGUUCGAGUUUCGUUGGUUUGCAAUUGUAAUAACAUUUAUAUUUUACACUAGCGGCCCGCCCACGCUUCGCUUCCGAAACUGUAAUUUAUUAUUGGUUUCUCCACUAUUUAACACGUUCACUGCGGAACAGGCCCAAAUCAGCCUGCCGCGGAAUUUCACCUGGUGCGGACGAAGAAAACUAUGUCCCUCUCGCUGGUGCGGAACGAUUAUCUCAGGUGUUUGUAAAGGUACGACAAAGACAAAUAUAUAUUUGACAUUGUGGUCAAAAGUAUAGAUGUUCCCUAUAAAAACAUCACGGCAGGCCUUUAUCGGCCUAUCACGCACUGACGGUAAAAAACAUCAACUCGGUGCGGGAGGAGGCCUAUUGUGGCCCGCCGUCCCAACAGGCUGUUGGCGGCCCGAUACCGCACAGAGCGCCCGCCUCGCCAGUUAGUGUUGGGCAAGCUAUCGGAACUGACGUACGUCACGUUUUUUUUAUUCCUUAAAAUUAAAGGCACGAUGUCAAGCAACAAAAGAAAGAUAAAUAUUUUGGAAAAUAAAUUAAUUUGCGGUGCAGAUAGUGAUAGUGACAGCAGUCAGGAGAUAUUUUCCUUCAAGAAAAAAAAAACCAAGCACAAGUGAGCAUAUUUACAGUAGCCCCACUGGAAGAAAAUUUCAUAUUCUCAAACCAGUCUCGUCUUUAAAUGAAACUAAUACCGGAAAUCAAGUAACACCUACGGCCGAUCAUAUCCUUGAGAUGAGCGGUAAACGGCGAAAUUGUGUAGGGUGCUAUGAAAAACUGCGGGAAACCAUGAAGAGUUCCGAGGUGAAAAGGAAAGUAAAAAAAAUUAAAACAUACUGCAGAAUGUGCAAGCAAAAUCUUUGUGCGAAAUGUUUUAAAGACAGCCAUUAAUAAAUAAUUAAAUAAACAAUUUUUAUUUCUUUA